AGUGAACGCUGGCGGUAGGCCUAACACAUGCAAGUCGAACGGCAGCACAGUAAGAGCUUGCUCUUACGGGUGGCGAGUGGCGGACGGGUGAAGAAUACAUCGGAAUCUACUUUUUCGUGGGGGAUAACGUAGGGAAACUUACGCUAAUACCGCAUACGACCUACGGGUGAAAGCAGGGGAUCUUCGGACCUUGCGCGAUUGAAUGAGCCGAUGUCGGAUUAGCUAGUUGGCGGGGUAAAGGCCCACCAAGGCGACGAUCCGUAGCUGGUCUGAGAGGAUGAUCAGCCACACUGGAACUGAGACACGGUCCAGACUCCUACGGGAGGCAGCAGUGGGGAAUAUUGGACAAAGGGCGCAAGCCUGAUCCAGCCAUACCGCGUGGGUGAAGAAGGCCUUCGGGUUGUAAAGCCCUUUUGUUGGGAAAGAAAAGCAGCAGGUUAAUACCCCGCUGUUCUGACGGUACCCAAAGAAUAAGCACCGGCUAACUUCGUG
rnacentral:rRNA from 1 species